rnacentral:rRNA from 1 species
GACGAACGCUGGCGGCGUGCUUAACACAUGCAAGUCGAACGGAAAGGCCCUGAUUUUGUGGGGUGCUCGAGUGGCGAACGGGUGAGUAACACGUGAGUAACCCGCCCUUGACUUUGGGAUAACUUCAGGAAACUGGGGAUAAUACCGGAUAGGAGCUCCUGCUGCAUGGUGGGGGUUGGAAAGUUUCGUCGGUUGGGGAUGGACUAGCGGCUUAUCAGCUUGUUGGUGGGGUAGUGGCUUACCAAGGCUUUGACGGGUAGCCGGCCUGGGAGGGUGACCGGCCACAUUGGGACUGAGGUACGGCCCAGACUCCUACGGGAGGCAGCAGUGGGGAAUAUUGCGCAAUGGGCGGAAGCCUGAGGCAGCAACGCCGCGUGCGGAAUGACGGCCUUCGAGUGAUGAACCGCUUUCGCCUGUGACGAAGCGUGAGUGACGGUAAUGGGUAAGAAAGCACCGGCUAACUACGUG